AGUGAACGCUGGCGGUAGGCCUAACACAUGCAAGUCGAACGGCAGCACAGUAAGAGCUUGCUCUUACGGGUGGCGAGUGGCGGACGGGUGAGGAAUACAUCGGAAUCUACUUUUUCGUGGGGGAUAACGUAGGGAAACUUACGCUAAUACCGCAUACGACCUACGGGUGAAAGCAGGGGAUCUUCGGACCUUGCGCGAUUGAAUGAGCCGAUGUCGGAUUAGCUAGUUGGCGGGGUAAAGGCCCACCAAGGCGACGAUCCGUAGCUGGUCUGAGAGGAUGAUCAGCCACACUGGAACUGAGAAACGGUCCAGACUCCUACGGGAGGCAGCAGUGGGGAAUAUUGGACAAUGGGCGCAAGCCUGAUCCAGCCAUACCGCGUAGGUGAAGAAGGCCUUCGGGUUGUAAAGCCCUUUUGUUGGGAAAGAAAAGCAGCAGGUUAAUACCCCGCUGUUCUGACGGUACCCAAAGAAUAAGCACCGGCUAACUUCGUG
rnacentral:rRNA from 1 species